rnacentral:lncRNA from 1 species
GUAGUAAUAUAGGUACAUAUAACCUAGUUCCACAUGUACAUGCUACUAUUUGGUUGCAGGAGUAAGAACAGGUACUUUUCAAGGGUCCAAACACUAAGAAGGGGUGAAUAACUAAAGAUCAGUAACACCAGUAACCAAGACAACAUUAUAGUCAUGAAGAGGAAGACAUGUAGGACAGGGCUGACACCCUAACCCCAUAGAAUUGGGGUCGGGCGACCCCACUUUGGUGGGUCCCACAGGUCAGCUCAACUCCACCGACAUCAGAGAGCCUCCAGGACAC